rnacentral:rRNA from 1 species
GACGAACGCUGGCGGCGUGCUUAACACAUGCAAGUCGAACGGAAAGGCCCUGCUUGCCGGGUACUCGAGUGGCGAACGGGUGAGUAACACGUGGGUGAUCUGCCCUGCACUUCGGGAUAAGCCUGGGAAACUGGGUCUAAUACCGGAUAGGAGCCAUUUUUAGUGUGAUGGUUGGAAAGUUUUUUCGGUGUAGGAUGAGCUCGCGGCCUAUCAGCUUGUUGGUGGGGUAAUGGCCUACCAAGGCGGCGACGGGUAGCCGGCCUGAGAGGGUGGACGGCCACAUUGGGACUGAGAUACGGCCCAGACUCCUACGGGAGGCAGCAGUGGGGAAUAUUGCACAAUGGGCGCAAGCCUGAUGCAGCGACGCCGCGUGGGGGAUGACGGCCUUCGGGUUGUAAACUCCUUUCGCUAGGGACGAAGCUUUUUGCGAUGGUACCUAGAGAAGAAGCACCGGCUAACUACGUG